GACGUAGGGCGCGAGCGUUGUCCGGAUUUAUUGGGCGUAAAGAGCUCGUAGGCGGUCUGUUGCGUCGGUUGUGAAAACCCGGGGCUCAACUCCGGGCCUGCAAUCGAUACGGGCAGACUAGAGUUCGGUAGGGGAGACUGGAAUUCCUGGUGUAGCGGUGAAAUGCGCAGAUAUCAGGAGGAACACCGGUGGCGAAGGCGGGUCUCUGGGCCGAAACUGACGCUGAGGAGCGAAAGCGUGGGGAGCGAACAGG
rnacentral:rRNA from 1 species